UUAUCUCUGUAGAGUCUGCAUAUCAAUAAGCGGAGGAAAAGAAACUAACAAGGAUUCCCUUAGUAACGGCGAGUGAAGCGGGAAGAGCUCAAAUUUGAAAUCUUCAAGGUUCUACCUUGACGAAUUGUAGUUUAAAGAAGUGUUUUCUGUUAGAUGAGUAGCAAAAGUUCCUUGGAAUGGGACAUCAUAGAGGGUGAGAAUCCCGUAUUUGGUUAUUCAUUCUAGCUUUGUGAUACACUUUCAAAGAGUCGGAUUGUUUGGGAAUGCAGUCCAAAAUGGGUAGUAAAUUUCAUCUAAAGCUAAAUAUUGGCGAGAGACCGAUAGCGAACAAGUACCGUGAGGGAAAGAUGAAAAGAACUUUGAAAAGAGAGUUAAACAGUACGUGAAAUUGUCAAAAGGGAAGCGUUUGACACCAGUGUUGUUUUCUCGAAAAUCAAUUAAAAAUGGCAUGAUUUUGUGUUGUAUUGACCUUAAUCAAGCUUCCUUCACUCUUUUCAUUGUCUUUUUUUAAUGCACUUUUCGUUUAACAAGUCAACAUCAAUUUCUUUUGUUGUAAAAGAGUCAUUGGAAGGUGGCUUUCUUUUCGGAGAAAGUGUUUAUAGCCUUUGGCCUCUGCAAUCGGAGAGAUUGAGGUCUGCAGCGUAGAUCCUUCGGGGUUAGAUACAUUUGUGCUAAGUUAUAGCCUUUCAUAGACAACUUGUUGACUAUGAUCAGUCAUGUAGCUUACUCGCUUAUGCUAUUUUACCUACGCUUAGGAUGUUGAAGAUGUAGCACAUCAU
rnacentral:rRNA from 1 species